rnacentral:rRNA from 1 species
UACAGAGGGUGCGAGCGUUAAUCGGAAUUACUGGGCGUAAAGCGUGCGUAGACGGUCAUGUAAGUCGGGUGUGAAAGCCCCGGGCUCAACCUGGGAAUUGCAUUCGAGACUGCAUAGCUAGGGUGCGGAAGAGGGAAGCGGAAUUUCCGGUGUAGCGGUGAAAUGCGUAGAUAUCGGAAGGAACACCAGUGGCGAAAGCGGCUUCCUGGUCCAGCACCGACGUUCAGGCACGAAAGCGUGGGGAGCAAACAGG